rnacentral:rRNA from 1 species
AUUGAACGCUGGCGGCAGGCUUAACACAUGCAAGUCGAGCGAGCGGAGGACGGGUGAGUAAUGUCUGGGAAACUGCCUGAUGGAGGGGGAUAACUACUGGAAACGGUAGCUAAUACCGCAUACCAUCAGAUGUGCCCAGAUGGGAUUAGCUAGUAGGUGGGGUACUGGCGCACCUAGGCGACGAUCCCUAGCUGGUCUGAGAGGAUGACAACACAAACUGGAACGGAGUCACGGUCCAGACUCCUACGAGAGGCAGCAGGGGGAAAUAUUGCACAAUGGGCGCAAGCCUGAUGCAGCCAUGCCGCGUGUGUGAAGAAGGCCUGCGGGUGGUAAAGCACUUUCAGCGAGGAGGCGUUACUCGCAGAAGAAGCACCGGCUAACUCCGUGCCAGCCGCCGCGGUAAUAC